rnacentral:rRNA from 1 species
GAUAAUUCCUCUAAGUCUAUUAAACCCUUAAUUAUUACUGAAUGAUUCUAUAAUCUAUAGAAGCCCCGAUACUAAAACUAGUAACAAGAAAUUGUAUUUCUCCAAAAUAUAAGUAUAAGCCUAAAUGGACAAACCAUCGGCAGUUAACGUCAAUACAAAUACUAUAGUAACCUUGCAAGAAAAUCCUACAAACAUAAACGUUAACCUUACACAAGCAUAUUUCAGGAAAGUUAAAAGAAAGGGAAGGAACUCGGCAAAUCUCAACCCGCCUGUUACAAAACUACGCCUCUUGACAAACUAUAAGAGGUCCACUGCCCAGUGACAUAGUUAAACGGCCGCGGUACCCUGACCGUGCGAAGGUAGCAUAAUCACUUGUUCUUUAAAUAGGGACUUGUAUCAACGGCAUCACGAGGGUUCUACUGUCUCCCCUCUCUAAUCAGUGAAACUGACUUCCCCGUGAAGAGGCGGGGAUACAACUACAAGACGAGAAGACCCCAUGGAGCUUUAAACCCGCUAACAGCCCUCUUUAUAAUACUCCUAUAUAAAUGAAAAGCAAAUGUGCAGCCACCUGUAAAGACAGCGUGGAGUGGUGCUCGAUAGUGAUAGCAUGGAUGGCGCGGUGUCACAGAUUCAGCAACAUUGGAAAUAACCAUAACUCAAGUCUAAAGUGUCACCACUUGUUUAUUUUAAU